UCGCUCAGUUGCUCAGGGCCUCACUAAGGUGCCGAGGCUGGCUUUGAACCUGCCAUCCUCCUGCCUCAGCCUCCUGAGCCGCUGGGAUGACAGGCCUGCGCCACCACACCCGGCACUUUCCAUGAAUUCUUUAGGGAAUUUCCAGACCACAUAAUCUCUCACUCCUCUGAAUUCAUUCACCCACUCAUCCAUCCCUCCUCCCGGCACUUUUUAUCGGGCACCUACUUUAUGUCCGCAGCAUCUCAACAGGCAGGACCACUGUCCUAAUGGAAGGCUCAGCCUAGCAGGAGACAAGCCUCAAACAAGCAACCACAUAGAUCAAUCACUUUAAACUGUGAUCUGUGCCAUGACAAGAGAAACACAGUGCAAGAAGUAGGAGGGGACAUAAACAGGGGUCUCUACUUCUGCAGAGUCAUAAAGGAAGAGAAAGAAUAUUAAGUCAGACUUAAAGAAAAGCUGGAGUUCUCCACAUGAAGAGAAGGAAGUAUGGAGGCAGAAAUGGCAAUAUGUGCAAAGGCCCUGAGGCCCGAGAGAUGGAGGGGGGAGGGGGCUGGAACACAGAGGGGGCAGAAAAGCAGCAUCAGGUGAGAUCAGGAAAGAAAAGAAAGCUGGGUCCAGAGGAUGGAGCAUUAUAGGUCGGUUAAGGAUUCUGGAUUUUGGCCCUAAGUGUGCUCAUCAAGAGCCAUUUAAGAGUUUUAAUCAGGGAUACAUUAGGCCGAAUCCAACUCGUAUCUUCAGAAGUUUAAUAAGUUAGGCAGCCAGGGACACAGUAGUCCCUAAAUCUUACCUCUGGAACCAGCUCCUCCAGGGCUUGUAUCAUGGCCUGCUCCAUCCACAGCGUCUAGUAGGUGAACCUCACAGUAUUGCAGACAGGACUCGGUCCCCCGAGCCACAGCCAAUGGGCUCACAGGACGGCACCAGCCUGAGGCCCACUCCUCCACCCAUGGCCAGGGGUCCAGGAUUUGUGACCAAACCCAGAAGGUAGGCCAGGCCCAUCAGAGGAUCUCCACUGGGACUUUUAACUAAGAGGCCAGGGGCAACUGCUAGUUGGCUGCUGAGAGCAGGACAGAAUGGACACGGGGCAGCCGUGGGACCAGGGCAGCCACAGUGGGAAGUUGCAAAACACUGUCUGGCGGAGAGGACCACCCUGCAAAGCCUUCCCAUGGUACCUAAAUGAAAUCCAGAUUUUUGCUGUGACCUCCAAGGUCUUGAGUCUCCAACUUCAUGCCAAGCUACUCGCCCCUUAUACUCCAGUCCUGCCGGACUCCCUUUUUUUGGUUCCUUAACCGAGCCAAACAACUCUCUGCCUCAGGGCCUUUGCACCGGUUGCUCCCAUUUCUUGAAAUUUCUUCUCUCUCUUUAUACAGAGCCUUGUCAUCCUUCAGCUCUGUCACCUCCUCAGAGGGAACGGCUUCGGCAACUCUCUAAAGUUUCCCCUUAAGAACAUAAGUUCCGUGACAGCGGGGUCCUUGACGGUCUCGGUGUCAUUGUAUUCUCCAGGCCUAACACCUGGGGGGUGCGCAGACAUCUGAAGGAGGCAGAAAGGAGAGAGGGGAGGAGGGGAGGCAGGAAGUGCAGUCUGUGCCAUUUCGAGGAAGGCCGGAGCGUCUCAAAGGAGGAGACGGUGACUUCCUGGGGCGAAUAGCUUCCUCGCCCCAGUUCCUUGAGGCCCAGCCGAAUCCCAUUCUCUGAUUCCUAGGACAUUCUUGCAAACACCUCCCCUUUCCUGAAGCAGCCUAAGUGGAUCUCUGUUGGGGAUUACUGAGCCAGCACCGACUCAGAACUAAUACCUCUAGAAGCUUCCAGAACUGGGGGACACCUGACCAUAAGGGUACAACUAAGCAUCUCUCUUAGAAAGAGCAGGACAACCAGGCCAGCAUCGCAGUUAGUCCGAAUGUCAAGGAAGGGCUUAAGCCGAGCGCAGUGGCACCCGGCUGUGGUCCCAGCGACUGCAGGGACAAAGGCCGGACAAUCCCAAGUUCAAGACCAGCCUGGGCCACUUAGCAAGAUCCUGUCUCAAAUCCAAUCAACAGGGCCUGGGGAUGCAGCUCAGAGGUGGAGCACUGGACUAGCGUAGGGGAGACUCUGGGUUUGAUCCCCAGUACCAGGAAAAGUUUUUUAAAAAAGUAAGGAGGAGGAAAAACAAAAGAAAACCCUCCAAGUGAGUUUAAUUCACAAAGAUCCAAGACAGAGGAAACCAGGAAUGAAAGCCACCAUGAAGACAACAGCUAGGCCAAGGCACCAAGCCAGACGCAAGCAGCUCCUGGAGGUUGAGUUGAUGCAACGUUGAUGGCUUUGUGUGUGUGUGUGUGAAUGGACGUCAAAUCAAUCAAACAGAAACCAGGCUUUGAGGUAGUAAUUUGGACUUAGUGGACGCUUCUCUGACUAUUUAGGUAAAAAAAAAAAAUUGUUGACUUGAUUCCAACUUAACUAGCUUGUAUUCGCCAUUUAAACUUCGACUGUCAUAACAAACAGACUCCAAAAGAUCAAGCACUUGACACAAUAAAUCGCUGUUUCCUGUCCACACAAGGACUACUGCAGGUCCCGCUGAGUGGCUUUCCUGGGUGGGUUGGCUCCAGGUGGUGACUCAGGGGACCAAGCUGCUCUGUCUUGUAGUUCUGCCACCUUGUGGCUGCAGGCUGGUACUGCAGUCAUCCACCUGGGGGAUGCAAGGGAGAGAAGAAGAGAUGGUGAGAAGGUCAAGGUCAUGCGCCAAAACAGCAUCACCUUGGCCCGGAGUAACGCACUUCAGGUCACGUGCCACUGAUGAGGACAAAAUGGUAGGGUCCUGUCCAGCUCCCAUAUGGAAAACGUCACCUAUGGCAAAAGAGUCGUAGCUCCGCCUUUCAUAGCGUGUGCACAUCUCCUGUCUUUGGCAGGAGACUAGUUAGUCGUCUCUGCCACACACGUAAGUAGGAAAAAAAUGUUCUCCAUAAAAACAAGACUCAAGGUGAAGAGCCCUUGAGGUUCGUAAAUUCAGCAUUUUAAGAUAAAUUCCAAGGCCUCCCGAUUUUCUGUUCCCACAUUUCCAUCCUUAGACCCCGUCAAAAAUCAGGUAAAAUAUCCCAUUGUAUACAAAUACACUACCACCUCCCACCCAGGUACAAUAUCCCAUAAUAUCCAGAGACGACAUCCAGCAAAGAGCCAACUCCUACCUAUGGGUCUUUCAGAGUGAAGAAACCGACUCAGAAGCAUCCUAUUCGAUUUUUUUUUCUUAUUCUCACUGGACAAAAUGGGGUCCUGGAUCCCUAAGCCAUUGAGGGGGGUGGACUUAAUACGGGGGAGAAGGACCAGUGGUUGGUUCUCAGCCCCUGCUGCCCCCCUGUUGGGUUAGCAUCACCUACAGGAAUUUUUAUUUUAAUUCCAAAUGUCCAGUCUCUACCCCAGAGAUUCUUACAUAAUUGAGCCAGAGUGAAUGAAGCUGGACUUCAGAAAUCACCAACCGAGAGUUUGGACCCAAUUACAUUCACAUUCGUGUUGAGUUUGGGCCCACGGGUGUUUAUUAAAAAAAAAAUCAAGAACUUCUUAAAACAAUCAAGCAAAUCAUGCAAAAAAAAA